GCCUGGUAAUAGGAAUCUGCUGAUUUCAAGUUGUAAGGCUCUCCAUGUUUGUUUCUAGGUACGAUGGAAAGGAGGUUUUCAGUGGCGUCAAGUACAUUGUGCAUUAAGCACUUCAUGGAAGGACUAUCACAAGUCGAAGAAUACUUGGUACACACAAGUGGAUUUUCCUGAAAGCCAUACUGGCAUGAACAGUUUCUAGUAACAGGAAUGUGACAUAUCCUGAAGAAAUAUUUCCUCGCAGCAGGAAAUAAAACCGAGAGAUGCUUGAAUGCUGCUUCUGAACAGAAGGAAAACGUGUUUUAUAAAAAACGAGUAGGAACAAGAGCUUUUGGCUUUUUCAGUGAUGAAUUGGAACACUUUGUCAGAACUGCUUGACAAAUGUGUAUGAUGUAACCAGAAGGAAGUGUAACCUGAAGAGAUUGUGGCUUGGAGUGGGAUGUCAUGCUUUUAAAAGCCUACUGAAACAGCUGCAAUUUUGUUCAGUAGAUACUGUCUUCAGAAAGAGUGUGUGGACCAAAAUUACUGUCUAUGCAUAUUUAAAACAUUGUCUUUCUAAAACACUUAACUGUCUUCUCUAGGAAGUGUAGCAGUAUUAGGGAAAGGAGUGUUGAGCUUCAGUACAUGGAAAACUUUUUGAAAUGGUCCAAACUAUAUA